CAGUGUAGGAUCCUGGCUCUGAUUGAACGCUGGCGGCAGGCUUAACACAUGCAAGUCGAGCGGGGGAGGUUAGUUCGGUAACUGACCUAGCGGCGGACGGGUGAGUAAUGCUUAGGAAUCUGCCUAUUAGUGGGGGACAACAUUCCGAAAGGAAUGCUAAUACCGCAUACGCCCUACGGGGGAAAGCAGGGGAUCUUCGGACCUUGCGCUAAUAGAUGAGCCUAAGUCGGAUUAGCUAGUUGGUGGGGUAAAGGCCUACCAAGGCGACGAUCUGUAGCGGGUCUGAGAGGAUGAUCCGCCACACUGGGACUGAGACACGGCCCAGACUCCUACGGGAGGCAGCAGUGGGGAAUAUUGGACAAUGGGCGCAAGCCUGAUCCAGCCAUGCCGCGUGUGUGAAGAAGGCCUUUUGGUUGUAAAGCACUUUAAGCGAGGAGGAGGCUCCUUUAGUUAAUACCUAAAGAGAGUGGACGUUACUCGCAGAAUAAGCACCGGCUAACUCUGUGCCAGCAGCCGCGGUAAUACAGAGGGUGCGAGCGUUAAUCGGAUUUACUGGGCGUAAAGCGUGCGUAGGCGGCUUUUUAAGUCGGAUGUGAAAUCCCUGAGCUUAACUUAGGAAUUGCAUUCGAUACUGGAAAGCUAGAGUAUGGGAGAGGAUGGUAGAAUUCCAGGUGUAGCGGUGAAAUGCGUAGAGAUCUGGAGGAAUACCGAUGGCGAAGGCAGCCAUCUGGC
rnacentral:rRNA from 1 species